UGCGUAGGCGGCGCGGUAAGUCGGGUGUGAAAUCUCGGGGCUUAACUCCGAAACUGCAUUCGAUACUGCCGUGCUUGAGGACUGGAGAGGAGACUGGAAUUUACGGUGUAGCGGUGAAAUGCGUAGAUAUCGUAAGGAAGACCAGUGGCGAAGGCGGGUCUCUGGACAGUUCCUGACGCUGAGGCACGAAGGCCAGGGGAGCAAAC
rnacentral:rRNA from 1 species